rnacentral:lncRNA from 1 species
GACAAGAGAGGAUCAACAUCUGCAUUCUCAAACACCUCUUCAACAACCCCUUCAAUAGACUUUUGGGCAGAUAGGUCUUCAGCUUGGAGGAUACCAUCAUCAAGCAAGACCUGGAUACCCUGCUGCAGCCUCGCACAACCCCUGCUCUAUGCAACACAACCCAAACAACCGCUCCCGCAACCGGGGAAAACAUCUGCCUUUAGCAAGUAUUCUUUAAUUUCUAACAGCA